rnacentral:rRNA from 1 species
UACGUAGGUGGCAAGCGUUGUCCGGAUUCACUGGGCGUAAAGGGUGCGCAGGUGGGUUUGCAAGUUCGAUGUGAAAGCCCCGGGCUUAACCCGGGAAUGGCAUUGGAUACUGCAGAUCUGGAGGAUCGGAGGGGGGACUGGAAUUCUUGGUGUAGCAGUGAAAUGCGUAGAUAUCAAGAGGAACACCAGUGGCGAAGGCGAGUCCCUGGACAACACCUGACACUGAGGCACGAAAGCUAGGGGAGCAAACAGG